rnacentral:rRNA from 1 species
AUUGAACGCUGGCGGCAGGCCUAACACAUGCAAGUCGAGCGAGCGGCGGACGGGUGAGUAAUGUCUGGGAAACUGCCUGAUGGAGGGGGAUAACUACUGGAAACGGUAGCUAAUACCGCAUACCAUCAGAUGUGCCCAGAUGGGAUUAGCUAGUAGGUGGGGGAUCGGCUAACCUAGGCGACGAGCCCUAGCUGGUCUGAGAGGAUGACCAGCCACACUGCAACGGAUACACGGUUCAGACGCCUACGGGAGUCAGCAGUGGGGAAGAUUGCACAAUGGGCGCAAGCCUGAUGCAGCGAUGCCGCGUGGGUUAAGAAGGCCUUCGGGUUGUAAAGCACUUUCAGCGGGGAGGCGUUACCCGCAGAAGAAGCACCGGCUAACUCCGUGCCAGCAGCCGCGGUAAUAC